AAAAUUACGAUCACAUUAAGAAAAAACUUGUUGCUGUAACUAAAGACUUGACGCUUUGAAAAUUAAGUGUGGAAAAACAGAUGUUAGUUUCAAAAAUUAUACCGUAUCAAGUAAGACAGUCAAGUCCUUAUUUGAAAACCAAUUAAAAUUCAAAGAUAAUCAAAACAAGGGUCUAGGGUAUGAUAGUGUUCCUCCACCUGUCAAUCAUAACUAUAUAUCCAUCCCUAUGACACAGGAAGAAAUUUGUGACAACCCGAAAUUUCAAUCUUGUACGAUUAAUCAAUUCAAUCAAUAUUCAACUUGUUUUGUCGAUUUCUAUUGCUAUUCAAGGGGUCAUUUAAGUGUUCUAAGCUUGUAUAAAUACCCAAGGUUGAGUUUAGGAAUGAGUCGGAGUGUUGAAUAGCGAGAAAAUUAGGCCAUACACACCUCUUGGAGGAGUGUACGGCCAUACACAUGGGUGUGCGGCGGCACACCCACUCCCUUGGCAGCACACUCACUUUUGGGCAGCACCUUUACCCCUAUAUAAAGGGUAUCCCCUUCCUUUCAUUCCUUUAGCACCUUGGCAGCACACAACAUCAUUUCCUCUUAAGUUUCUCUAACUUUGAACCUUCCAAAGCUUCAAAAAUGUGAGUAAUCCAUCCAUUAACUUGUUGUGCAUGAAGAACCUCUUGAUCUAGGCCUUGAAUCAUGAAAGUCCCAUCAUGUUCUUCAUCUCGUUGAAUGAGUGCGGCCACACACUCAUGUGUGCGGCCACACACUCCUGUGUGCAGCCACACACUCCUAUGUGCGGCAGCAUACACAUUUGUGCGACCAUACACACACACACCAUAGGACCACAAACCCAUUUCUAAGAUCCUAAACUUGUACUACAACCAAGUAUGGGCCUAGGACACUUCAUGGAUGCAAGUAUGGACCUUGAAAACACCUCAAAGGCACCUUCCAUCAUGAGUGUACGCCCGCACACCCUUUGGGCCGUACACCCAUGGCCAUACACACCUUUAAAGUGGCCAUACACCUCACUCAUGCAAUCCUUUGAGGUCCUAACACUUAAUUCAAGUAGUCCCAAGUUCUUAUAAUGGUUCUUCGUCACAUCUAGUGGUGAAAUACCAUCAUUUGACUCCUUUAUGUGUCAUUACUUGUUGAUUAUGAUCAAAUCAUCAUGUUAGUGGGAGCAUGAUAAUUAUUAUUAGACAACAAUGUUAAUUAUAGAAAAACAAAAGUUUCAAUUCGUGAAGUUGCAGGGGUUGAAAAGUUGGUUUGCUAUAAUUAAGGGAGGGGAAAUUAUACUUCAUCUCAAAUCUAUAAGCUUAGAUCAUGAGAUUUUAAUCAUAUUUAGUCAAGUAUAUAUAUGAAUGUUAUGUUGGAAUGGCUCAACAUAAGGAAAUUCUAUAUAUGGGUACAUAUUUGCGUUCUAAAAUUCGAUUAUGAUUACGGCAUCCGUUUUCAUAAUCUGAAUUAUGAGAACUUGGCAAAUAGAAAUAUUGUAGCAAAAGCAUUGGUCUAGUAUCAUGUCUUUAUGUGAGAUAUCAUGAAUCGAUUCCCAUAUGCCUCAGAUAUAGGAUCGAUUGCAUGUGCUACAAUAUUCAUCCUUUCUAAUUUUUUCCAAAUGCCUGGGGCAUUAAGAGGGGAAAAGUCUAGAACUGGAUAUGACUAAAAUGAUUAAGCAAUUGUUGAGUACAAUCUAAGGUUUACCAAAGAUUGGUUGCUCAAGUACAAUUGGAAGUAUGGUGUUAAUUUUGGAAGGAACAUAUUGACAUAUUCUGAAGAGAGGUAACUCUUGUUCAGAAGUGAUAGUUAAAAUGGGAAUAUGGAGUUGUUCCUAUUGGUGGAAGUUAUUCAUUAAAUUUGUGUAAGAUUAGGAAACUUAAUGCAAGAAAAAUGUUCAAAGGCAAUGAACUUUGAAUAUGAGACUUCGGUUCCAUGGAGUUGGUCUCCAUUGGAAUACUCUGUAAUGUAUGUUGAAAAGUCUUUGUGACUUUGUGCAUAAUCACUACAAGAGGACCAAUGCAUAUAAGUUUAGAAUCUAACAGAUUUAGGUAAAUGGCAGGAAUCUGGAAUUCUUACAUUUGCGGUAAGGAAUUGAGAUUGGGAAAUGAGAAUCAUUGGAAUUAUGUUCAAUCGAUCUAUUUCACAAAGUAAAGAUCAUACACAAACAUAGUGUGCAUACUUGGAGUAUGGCAUGACUAGUGUUUAGAAAAACAUAGUGUACAUACUUGGAGCAUGGGACAACUAUUGUUUUAAUUCAAGUAUAAAGUUCAUAGUUGGAAACAGUAUGCAAUGAAUGAUGAGUAAUCAAUAUGGUGAUAAAUAAAAGGUGUUUUUAUUUAUAUUCAAAAGUUCUGAGACCAUAUUGGAUUCAAUUAUUCUUGUGUUUCACUUUGCAUGUUUUGACUUCCAGAAUAACUAGGUCGUUCAUCCUAAAUGACUAAGUUAUUCAAACUAUCCACAGUCGGUCAUAUUUUGGAAGUAGAUAUGAAUCAAGAUUGUCAUGGGUUGGCUUGUAGAGGUCUAAGAUGUUGGAGAAAGUGGUGCUACAACACUCAUGAGUGUUCAUAAGUUCUGAGUAAUGGAUUCAACCCACGCUAAUUUGUUGGGUCAAUUAGAAAAGAAAGUUAUAAACCAAGGGGGAGAUUGUUGGGUCAAAAAUAUGGUUUAUACUUUUCUUUUCUAAGCAUUUAUUGUUUUUAUUAUUUUGGGCCGAAAAUAGUAUUUGAUUAUUUGUAUUUUGGGCUUGGCCUUAGGUCCAUAUAUAUAGGGUGAGGAGUGCAUGUGAGGGUAAUAGCCAAGGAGCUUAAGUGUGUGCAUUCUAAGGUGUGAGAGAAACUAUAGAGAGAAGAGUGUGUGUGAACUAUGUAUAUGGAGCUUCACUCAUUUCACUGAAUACAUCAUAGUUUCAUCUUCUUCUUCUUCUUCGNCAAGAUCUAAUCAAGAAUAAAAAAUUGUAGUUUAACACUAGCACACGACGUGAGCUUUAUAACAUAUCGUGUUGACAUAUUCCUACUUCUAUGCCCAUUCCAGUUAAAGUUGGCUUUGCAUAUGAGUUCUUAGAGUUCUCAAUUGGUUGCAUAACAACUUAGAAGCAAUGGCAAGCCCUUGAGCUGCCAGGUGGCAAGAAGUUAAGAUUACACAAGUUCAAUCCAUAAGAGUUUGGAUUUGUCAAUAACAUUGUCUUAUGAUUAUGGUUUUGACAAAUUCACAUGGAUAGGAACACAUACACCAUAAAAUCUAAGUUCAUAAGUUUUCUCUCUGAUUCAUGAAAAUGAUGGUGAGGAAACACUUUCACUAAUUAGAUUUUAACUAGAUAGCAAUUGUGAUAUUUUCAUUCUCAAAGUCGUUAGUGGAACAUGUGUUGUUAACCAACACACUAACAAGGACUUGUGAGAAAUUACAAAGGUCUAAACAAUUGAGAGACACAUGUGUGCUAUGUAAGGAAAGGUGUAUGAUUUUGGUGGAAGUUAUUCAUUAAAUUUGUGUAAGAUUAGGAAACUUAAUGCAAGAAAAAUGUUCAAAGGCAAUGAACUUUGAAUAUGAGACUUCGGUUCCAUGGAGUUGGUCUCCAUUGGAAUACUCUGUAAUGUAUGUUGAAAAGUCUUUGUGACUUUGUGCAUAAUCACUACAAGAGGACCAAUGCAUAUAAGUUUAGAAUCUAACAGAUUUAGGUAAAUGGCAGGAAUCUGGAAUUCUUACAUUUGCGGUAAGGAAUUGAGAUUGGGAAAUGAGAAUCAUUGGAAUUAUGUUCAAUCGAUCUAUUUCACAAAGUAAAGAUCAUACACAAACAUAGUGUGCAUACUUGGAGUAUGGCAUGACUAGUGUUUAGAAAAACAUAGUGUACAUACUUGGAGCAUGGGACAACUAUUGUUUUAAUUCAAGUAUAAAGUUCAUAGUUGGAAACAGUAUGCAAUGAAUGAUGAGUAAUCAAUAUGGUGAUAAAUAAAAGGUGUUUUUAUUUAUAUUCAAAAGUUCUGAGACCAUAUUGGAUUCAAUUAUUCUUGUGUUUCACUUUGCAUGUUUUGACUUCCAGAAUAACUAGGUCGUUCAUCCUAAAUGACUAAGUUAUUCAAACUAUCCACAGUCGGUCAUAUUUUGGAAGUAGAUAUGAAUCAAGAUUGUCAUGGGUUGGCUUGUAGAGGUCUAAGAUGUUGGAGAAAGUGGUGCUACAACACUCAUGAGUGUUCAUAAGUUCUGAGUAAUGGAUUCAACCCACGCUAAUUUGUUGGGUCAAUUAGAAAAGAAAGCUAUAAACCAAGGGGGAGAUUGUUGGGUCAAAAAUAUGGUUUAUACUUUUCUUUUCUAAGCAUUUAUUGUUUUUAUUAUUUUGGGCCGAAAAUAGUAUUUGAUUAUUUGUAUUUUGGGCUUGGCCUUAGGUCCAUAUAUAUAGGGUGAGGAGUGCAUGUGAGGGUAAUAGCCAAGGAGCUUAAGUGUGUGCAUUCUAAGGUGUGAGAGAAACUAUAGAGAGAAGAGUGUGUGUGAACUAUGUAUAUGGAGCUUCACUCAUUUCAUUGAAUACAUCAUAGUUUCAUCUUCUUCUUCUUCUUCUCCUUAUCUUCUAUUUUGAUAUGAUAUCAUCCAAUAGAUUGGGAUUCCGCACCAUCAAUUGGAUCUGAUUGAUACAAAAGCAGAUUUGGGGACUUACAAGUGGUAUCAGAGCUUGGUUGUAUCAAUCAAUUUUUUUUAGAUCUAGAGCUUAUUUGAUCUUAUUUUGAAGAGAUUUUUGCGGUUUUGGAUAGAUCUUGGCAAAAUAAGGGGGUUUGUUCUUUGCGUUUUUCAUAAAAACGAGUUUUGGAGUAAAAAGGAGCAAAAAAACGUUGUUUUUCGUCGUAACCAGCGAUUUUCGAGGUUCUCGAUCACGUUUUCAGUCGGAGUUCUUGGCCGGAGUUUUCGGUCCGAAGUCAUGUGUUCGGUCCGAGGUUUGCACGUGUUCGGUCCGGGUUUGCGGUUUGCAGCUUCGCGUGUUCGAUCUCGAUCAACAACAAUAGAAGUCCUCGCAUCGCAGCUUCUUAUUAAAAAAAAGGGGGGACGGAUUUGGGGGUGCCGGGGAUCAAACCCAGGACCUCUAGUUGAUCAAGUUUGCGCCUUACCAACUCGACUAGCAGAUCCUUUGUGUCCUUCCUUCGAAAUUUAAAACAUAAGCUGUCCUUCUCGGUUUCAACUUUCGAAAAUCAGCACUUUUAACCCCAAAAAAUCAAUUUCUUUUAUUUUAAAAUUCCAUUUUCAACCCAAAAUUUUAGUUUUUAAUUUUUGAUUUUAUUUUUAUCUUUUGAACUUAAAAUUUUAACUUUGACUUUCAAGUUUGACCUUUGACUUUAAACUUUGACUUUUUCGUUUACCUUUUAAAUUUUCAAAUUUAGCCUUUCGGUUUGACUUUUGAGUUUGACUUUUUAAAUUUGACUUUUAAGGUUGACUUUUAAGUUUUUAGUCAAAGGGCAUAUUUAAAAAAAAAAUGAGUUCCUCAUCCAUUCCGGUAAAUGAAGUUUCAUGUACUCCAUCUUGUGAAGCUACGAUUAAAUUUCUCCGAGAUCAAAUCGAUCUAUUAAAAAGAGAAAAUGAGGACCUCAAAUACGAAGGCUAUACUCUUAGCAAAGGUCAGAAACCACUAAAGCUCAAUUAGAGGCUAAGACUAAGGACUUUAGGAAACUACAAGAAGAUUACAACAACAAGUGUGAAAAUUACGAUCACAUUAAGAAAAAACUUGUUGCUGUAACUAAAGACUUGACGCUUUGAAAAUUAAGUGUGGAAAAACAGAUGUUAGUUUCAAAAAUUAUACCGUAUCAAGUAAGACAGUCAAGUCCUUAUUUGAAAACCAAUUAAAAUUCAAAGAUAAUCAAAACAAGGGUCUAGGGUAUGAUAGUGUUCCUCCACCUGUCAAUCAUAACUAUAUAUCCAUCCCUAUGACACAGGAAGAAAUUUGUGACAACCCGAAAUUUCAAUCUUGUACGAUUAAUCAAUUCAAUCAAUAUUCAACUUGUUUUGUCGAUUU
rnacentral:lncRNA from 1 species